CAGGCCUAACACAUGCAAGUCGAGCGGAGUUAUUUUGAAAGCUUGCUUUCAAAAUAACUUAGCGGCGGACGGGUGAGUAACACGUAGGCAACCUGCCCCUUAGACUGGGAUAACUACCGGAAACGGUAGCUAAUACCGGAUAAUUUCUUUUUUCUCCUGAAGAAAGAAUGAAAGACGGAGCAAUCCUGUCACUGAGGGAUGGGCCUGCGGCGCAUUAGCUAGUUGGUGGGGUAACGGCCCACCAAGGCGACGAUGCGUAGCCGACCUGAGAGGGUGAACGGCCACACUGGGACUGAGACACGGCCCAGACUCCUACGGGAGGCAGCAGUAGGGAAUCUUCCGCAAUGGACGAAAGUCUGACGGAGCACCGCCGCGUGAGUGAUGAAGGUUUUCGGAUCGUAAAGCUCUGUUGCCAGGGAAGAACG
rnacentral:rRNA from 1 species